rnacentral:rRNA from 1 species
UACGGAGGGUGCAAGCGUUAAUCGGAAUUACUGGGCGUAAAGCGCACGCAGGCGGUUUGUUAAGUCAGAUGUUAAAUCCCCGCGCUUAACGAGGGCACUGCAUUUGAAACUGGCAAGCUAGAGUAUUGUAGAGGGGGGUAGAAUUCCAGGUGUAGCGGUGAAAUGCGUAGAGAUCUGGAGGAAUACCGGUGGCGAAGGCGGCCCCCUGGACAAAGACUGACGCUCAGGUGCGAAAGCGUGGGGAGCAAACAGG